rnacentral:rRNA from 1 species
AUUGAACGCUGGCGGCAGGCCUAAUACAUGCAAGUCGAACGGUAACAUAAAAGAAGCUUGCUUCUUUUGAUGACGAGUGGCGGACGGGUGAGUAAUAUUUGGGAAACUACCUGAUAGAGGGGGACAACAGUUGGAAACGACUGCUAAUACCGCAUAAAGCCUGAGGGUGAAAGCAGCAAUGCGCUAUCAGAUGUGCCCAAACGGGAUUAGCUAGUAGGUGAGGUAAAGGCUCACCUAGGCGACGAUCUCUAGCUGGUCUGAGAGGAUGAUCAGCCACAUUGGGACUGAGACACGGCCCAGACUCCUACGGGAGGCAGCAGUAGGGAAUAUUGCACAAAUGGAGGAAACUCUGAUGCAGCCAUGCCGCGUGUGUGAAGAAGGCUUUCGGGUUGUAAAGCACUUUCGGAGGGAGGAAAAGAUGACGUUACCCUCAGAAGAAGCAACCGGCCUAAACUCCGUG